rnacentral:tRNA from 1 species
UAUGCUGUAGACUAACAGGUAAGUCAUAAAUUUUUGGUGUUUAAAGUUAGGUGUUCGAAUCACCUCAGCAUAA